rnacentral:rRNA from 1 species
CCUCCGGGGGGGGCUCUGCUCGUGGGGGCCCGCCAGAAAACCAAACUCUGAAUGUUAGUGAUGGGUGAAUACUAUCUAAUAAUUAAAACUUUCAACAACGGAUCUCUUGGUUCUGGCAUCGAUGAAAAACGCACCGAAAUGCGAUAAGUAAUGUGAAUUGCAGAAUUCAGUGAAUCAUCGAAUCUUUGAACGCACAUUGCGCCCUGUGGUAUUCCGCAGGGCAUGCCUGUUCGAGCGUCAUUUAACCACUCACGCCUAGCGUGGGGUUGGGGCACGCGGUCUCCGCGGCCCUCAAAAUUAUUGGCGGCGCCGGUGGGCUCUAAGCGUAUUACAUACUCCCGCUAUAGAGUUCCCCCGGUGGGUCGCCACAACCCCCAAUUUUUACAGGUUGACCUCGGAUCACGUAGGGAUACCCGCUGAAC